UGAGAGCCCCAGUCAAUAUGGGGGGUUGGUGCUACAGCAGUGUUUCUUGGCAGUAUGAUCUUUGAAACAUACUCAAAGGAACAAUGUGAGGGCAAAUACCUGCUGACAUGCCACAGAAUCUUACAGAGCAGAGAAAGGAAGAAGGAAUGAAAAGUGAAAUUUAACUAUUAGUAGUAAAUCGUAAGUAAGUAGUAAAGCAUGUGAAGGGAUAUGAAGGCAUCCCAAUCAUGAUGGGAUUUUCACUGAAGGCUAUAAUAUGAGCUCAAGAUCUCUGAACAAUGCUACACAGUGCAUUGGACCAUUGCCCAGGCAACCUGCCCAGGAAAUAAGUUAUUUCUUCCAGCUGCUCCAGUUCACAAGGGAUGAAAUGGUCAUUGUCAAGCACGACUGUUUUCCUGGAGUUGUUCUACACAGAAGACACAUUUCAGUGGCAACUGAAACUGGAGUCCUGACCUUGACCUGGGCAAAAGAGGAAAAUGAGGUGGGCAGAACAGAGUGCAAUCUUGCUGCUGAUCUAAAACCCACCUGGGCCGAGCCCUGUAAUCCCGUGCCUGCUGCAGCCAACUCCAGCUCAACAUACUGCCAGCACGGGCACGCCACUUGGUGCUGGGGGCAGGCAGUUCUGGUAAGGAUUCCCCCUCCUGGUGCAUUCUUUUGGGAGCCUGCAAAUACCAGGUGAGGCCAAGACAAAGGGAAGGACGUGGCUGGAAGCAGCAGGCUGUGUGGCUGAUGGGCACCUGGGUGUCUGUGGUUUCAAAGCCCUAGAAAAGGGGGCUGGGUUUUUUUUCACAGGGCUUGUGAAUGGUGCGGGGAAUCAAGCAGAACUUAAUGCAUAGGCUUGCUCUCUUCAGAAAGGUGGAUACAGCUCGGUGGGGGAGUUUGCAUCUUAAGCUGUCCUGCUGUGCUAUCACACUGGCACUUGUGGGUAGUGCUCACAAUAAAAAUUCAGUGUUAUGUCUUGAGUGAGCAAGUCACUGAGACUGAAACUGCCACAGCAGCAGGGAUAAAUGCUGGCUAAGUGCAGCAUUUCUAAAUGCUCUAUAAAUAAUUUGGCAUGCAAAAGUAAGUGCAGGAAGAUUUAUGUAUCGAGC